CAUAAGCUCUACAGAGCUUUUGACUUCUUGCAGCUCUUGAGAUGUACUUGCUCAUCUCUUUCUUGGAUUCUCUGAAACAACCAGGAUCCUCCCAAUAACUCCUUCUGUUUUUAACCAACCAGUUAGUUUCUGUUACUUGAAACCAAAACUGCUUUAUUCAACACAUGAUUUUAUGACCAUUUCUUCAAGAUUAUUAUGUCCCUUUUUCAGGGAAGCCUUCCCUGACCUAUUAUCCCCUAUCAGGCAAAAUUGCCCCCUUCUUAUUCUGUGUUCUCAGAAUACUUAAUGUCCAUCUUUUUUUUUUUUAGGCAAGGUCUUACUCUGUUGCCAUGGCUGGAGUGCAGUGGUGCGAUCUCACUUAUUGCAGCUUCUGCCUCCUGAGCUCAAGUAGCUGGACCUGAGCUCCUCUCACCUCAGCCUCCCAAGUAGCUGGACUGACUACCGGUGCACACUGCCAUGCCCAGCUAGUUUUUGCAUUUUUUGUAUAGAUGGGGUUGCCCAGGCUGGUCUGAAACUCCUGGGUUCAAGUGAUCCACCCAUCUCGGCCUCCCGAAGUGCUGGGAUUACAGGUGCUACACUGAGAACAGAUGUUCGAGUGCAGGAGAACCAAUUGGAAGGAGACUGAAGUAAUCCAGAUACACUGACCCAGGAGGCUCCUACAGGAGAAACUAGGUCCCUCAGUAAGGGAAGGACCUAACAGAACUGCUUCAGGGCCCAUGAAAGGGCACAGUGCCCGGAGCGAAGUCAGCUGGGGAUUUAGGUGAGUUGGGGAAACACAUGCAGCCCGGGGCAGGAUAUCUAUUUCUCUGAGGACCUAAGGGGUCUCCUGGGUGAGACGAUGAGUGUCUGCAUCAUGACUAGUGGACAGUCUUGAUUUUUAAGUAGCUCAGCUCCUCUAAGUAGGGUCGCUGUACCUUUGGUGCCGCCACUGACUUGUACCUUUCUUUCUGAUCGCACCAAUGAGAGAAGUAGAGUCUCUGAUCCUACACCCCAAAUGUUCUUGGUCUUCUAGCCCCCGUCCACUGCCCUGGCCUGAGCUGCAAGCCUGGUCUCUCCAUCUCCCAAGCUGCUUGUAAAGGGGAUGGAGCAGCCCCUGAGAACAGAUCCCCUACCUCUCCCUCCAACACUGGCCUCCUGGGAACUACUGGAAUGUUUCCAAGAGCAGAGAAGGGAAGAAGCUGCUGGUGGUGCCCUCAGGGAAAAGCAAUUCCACAGUGAGGGUCAGGAGUGACCUGUUGUAGUUCUUUGAAAACACACCCAGAUCCUUGGGGAGGAGGCACCCAGCACAGAGCCUGGCAUUAACAGGAUCAAAAACUCCUAGUGCCAACUUCAAGGCCUGGCACAAAGCAGUGGUUCUCAAGUCUGCCUUUGUGGUGCCCCAAAGUGGCUCUCCCAUGGCAACUUUUAAAAAAAUUUACUUAACUAAUACAUUUCAGUGAAGAGAAGUUAGAAAAGCUAAGAUAAAGGGGGGGAUCCUGUAAUCUUACAACAUGAGAUAGACAGCUUCCCAUCUUUACAUUUUUUUACAUAUUUCCACCAAGACCUCUAUGUGCACAUCUACAGGUAAAUAUGUUUUACACAGAUGGCUUUGUACUAUAUGUACUAUUUUCUAACCUUCCUUUCCACUUGACAAUACAUCAUGUUCGGCUUUCAAUGUCAGCACAC